GAUGUAUCCGGAAAUACUUGUCAUCAAAAUGAAUAAAAGGAGAUGCAUCUAGACGUAUUUUAGUUCUAGAUACAUCCCCUUUCAUCCAUUUUGAUGACAAGUAUUUUCGGACGAAUGGAGUAGUUU
rfam:Triticum urartu cultivar G1812 contig730089, whole genome shotgun sequence.